ensembl:lncRNA
CGAGACGGGGAGAAUGAGAGAACAAGAGGUUUUGUUUAGUGAACGAGUCCCUUUGCAAGAGUUACUCACCCAAGCUCACCCCAUCGUUCAGAUCCCCAUAGUGCCCAGGUCCCCUCCUCUAAUCCUCCACCAUCUUUUCUGCUGAAACAUCUCUGUCAGUCCGUUGUUCUGUCUUUUUUCUCAUUUCUGCCUGAGGCAAAAUGUCAGUCGCUAGAUCUGUGCAGCCAGAAUAGCAUUCGUAUACUUACAGGGGAACACAUUUCCAGUAUAGUUGUCUGAAAUGACCACAUGAACAGCAAGUUUAGUGUCAGUGCUACUUUGGUGGAAUGAAAUGAAAAAAGGCAUACAAAAUGUGUACAGAUGUGUUCUCCUGAAAAAGUUUCUUAAUCUCCCCAAUACAUUCUGGUCUAUACCAGACUUAACAGUCAGAUCCUAUAGUUGAUAGUGACAGCCUAAAAAGCUUAAAGGUUGUGUAGAUGCAACACUAUACAUCACAUCAAAAUACCAAUCUGUAGUUUCUAAUCUGCUCUUUUUGCUGCCCAGAAAUGUUACUCCCCUCAAGUUACCAAACUCGACUCUGCUCAAGUUCAUUCCCAUGCUGUAGUGGAAUUAUUUAUCUCACAUAACCAGUGAUUAAUGGCGUCCAACAGGUGGGAUUGCUGAUGUCGUUGCCAAACAAGUUUUGCCAUUAUCAUCAGCUCUUUUAUUAUGGGAUGCUCCAAUUAGCUACCUUCAAGCUAACAUCUCUAUCACAGCAGCCCUUCAGACACUUUUUACAAAUCCCAUCCCGGCACCAGGCGGCACUGACCUAUUUAAAUUGCCGUUCAAAAGAGAACCUUAUUCUCACAAAACCGUAUCAUGGCGGUGAUUUCAUGUUGUACGCACACAGGUUCCCUGCCUGCCUUUUCACUGAAGAGUUUUCAAACACUUUCUGCCUGUCAGAGAAAUGUCUGCUGUUUUUUGCUUGUUCCUUUGUCGCUGUUGGCAGUUCUGGCAUAUGAAUAAAGUUGUAUCACACAUCCUUGAUACAAUAAAGUGACAUCACAGCCACUUAGAAGUUCAGGUGGUGUGUCUGUUCAAAUGUGUCUCUACACAAUGAAGAGUGACACACAAAUGAAGCCCCUCAAGCAACCUGAAAGAGUUGUAUUCAUUUUUAUAAAUGCCAUUCAUGUUUUGACCAAAUUAAGUUUUUGUUAACAUUUUGAGGGAUCAAUGGCGAUCCAGCAUGCUCUGGUAUCGUCUUAUUUUUUGGCUGAGAACAUUUUCUUCCAUUUUCAAACUUUAUUUUAAUUCUUUCAGUUAAACUUCUUAUAAUUCUGACAUAAUUACAGAGAAAAGUUGAAGCUUGUGUUUCUUCUUCUCUUUCAUAGUGAUUUAAAAACCCUGCAGAUUGAGAUGCAUAUUGAGUAAAAUAUCAGGAAUAACACUAGUCUAAUGUCCAAACCCUUUAACAAAAUGUCCUUCUGAGACAGUUGAAUGGAUUAGAGUCACACGCGUCAACUUAAAAAUGCCUCGUGAUUGAAAAAUGCAGAAACGUUGUGUUAAAAAUAAUAAAAUGCUGCAAGAAAUGUUAAAACCACACUUGCAGCUCAUGCUCGUUGAUGGCUGUGUCCGGCUGGCUGGAAAGAGCAGUCCGUUACAUGAGUUGGAUAGGUGGGAGGGAGACUGUUGUGACGUCAUCCUCCUGCACAUGUUGCUAAAUGGAUGGAAACCGUGGAAAAGAGCAGGUGUUUUCAAGAACAACUCUUGCCAAAGCCAGUCGGGAGGAGACAAAAAACAUCCUCUCUCCAUCAAAAGAAAACGUCCAUACUUAUUUUUAAAAUGAGACAUCUUCUUCAGACCAGUCAAAACUGAUGCACCUAUUUUAAAACUGACAACACAGGUCGUGAUCUCAUAAUCCCUCCAAACAUUAGAAGCUCUGUUUCCUUGACAAACAUUGAGAUAUUUGAAUCUUUAACCAUGUCUGCUUUGAUAGUCAGCAUUCUGCAAUAAUCAGCUUGCCCGACUACCCAGCUUACUGCCUACAGUGACCACAUAGUGGAUUCAUGGACGUAAACAUUAGGGACAGGCUUUAUUUAAAAGAAGAAAGAAAGAUGAACAAUGAACUUUCCCAUAAUAUCCACAACACUCUUGAUCACGGCAUGGCAGCAAUUAUUCUGCUUGUUAACUGCUCAUCCAUUUAAUAACGAUUACAGAUCUAAAAAGCAUUGUGUCACUGUCUCGGCUGUUGUGUUGUGUGAGCGUUGUAUAACCAGGAGCAGUUUGUCGGAUUAUAUUACAGAUAUCCCUGUCAGUGACAGCCACGUCUAAAAUAAACCAUCUGGAGCACUGUUCAGGUUUCUGCAUUAAGACGUGUGUAUGUAUUUGUGGCUUUUGUUUGAGCAUUUUUGUGUGGAAUAAUUCUAAUGGAAAAUUCUGAUGACUAACUUGCCAUCUGGCUUCCCUCGUCAAUGAGCCGUUUCAUCACCGAUGACUGACAUUGGUUGGUCACUUCACAGCUUGGUGAUUGGUCAUUGCCGACAUAUAACCAAUGACGAUUUGGUAUUUUUGAAAUAACGCAAACACACACAUUGGUGGAUUUAAGUAGAUCUCAGGACGGACAGGAAAAUGAUGUACAGGCUGUCACACAGAUCCAUUCACCUUUAGGAUAUAAAUAGGGUCUUAUUUUAUUUUCAUAAUCCAGCAAUUAUAAAUAGCCGGCUCUGCAUGUGGGUCAAUAUCGUAUUGAUUGAGACUAUAGGUUACCAGGAAGAGUAACAAGUUUAGCAUUAGUACAGUGCUGCUUUGACUAGAUGAUAGUACACAUUAAAGGUUACUAGUUAGCUCGGCAAAUUGCCUCCUUAAUGUGGAAGAGGAGUUUGAUCAUGUGAGGAAUGCUGUCCAGGGCAGAACAUGAGGCAAUUUGAGGAACUGCAGUUUUGACACUUUGUUGCAGCAUUUCAUGAUUCCAUUCAGGAAUGUGCAACUUGGGGUAAAAAAAACCCCAGUCUGUCCUGAUUGAACUACUGGUUUAUAACAAGCAUGUAUUUCUGGAAAAACUGCGAUUACAUUCUCUCCACUGGCCCCUUGAUCCAUUCUUUGAUCUGUCCUGUUACAGAAGUUUCUUAUUAAAGAGGUUGGUCUUGGUAUAUUAAACACCUGUUGAGUAGCCUCUGAGGGGCAUAUCAAUUGAUUUUCUUCCCUCACCUCGCACAGAGUCUAAAUCUGACAAUAUGCAUUGAUUCUUUUUCAAUCUCUCUCGCUCUCGGCCCCUCUUCCAUCUGUGCAUGGAGAUCUAAAUUUGUUUAGAUUUGUUUGUCAUCCUCCCACACUUUUCAGCUUUCCCCUCUCCUCUCUGCAUCCCUCUUUCACUCAUCCAAUCUGUCCUGGGCUACGAAUUUGUUUACAUUAUUCUGUCUGUCUUCACUAAGAAGGAAACUUAUCUAAUGUAUUUUCUUUGUUUUACCUUUGUUUUACCUUUCUUACGCUCUUUAAAAUCAAAGGACCCUGUGGUCAUACCUGGUUUAUUUUUAUGGGACACACACACCCCGCCUCACCCUUUCUUUGUCACUCGCAGACACAAACACAAAUGUGGACUCAACAUAGCGUGCAGCACACGCACACAAAUGCAUGCAGACGGAACGACGUCAGACUGCUUGUAGACAAGCGUCUGAAUCUUCCUGACAGGAUUGUCUCGGGGAAGGAAAUAAAAGAGAGGGUGGGAGCAGAGACGGGGAGUUGAGAGAGAAAAAGAGGGGAGAGGACACCAUUGAGAUAAAGAUGGCAGAAAGGGGAGAGGCGGUGAGGGUGAAGAGGAGAGGCAUAUAAGGAAAGGGAGAAAGAGUCACAGUGACACAUGAGGGCAAGUGUGUUGUGGUUGGCAGACAGCAGCUGGAGGGAAGGAUCAACUUAGCUGACACAUCAGUUCAUAUCACCGCCGAGCGGUGAGACAGAUGGGGGAGGGUGGGAUGGAGAGUUUUAAAAAAAAAAGGACAUGUGGUUGAGAAACGGACAGACAUCGACAUUGGAAAAUAAGAAGACAGCCAGGUGGAGAGAGAGGGAGGAUGACGGACUAAAACUGUGGGUUGUGUGAAGGGAAGGAGAGAACGGUGGCAGGACAGAGGAAGGAAAUACAUUUGGUUUGAUUGGUGAGGUGAGAGUUAGUAGGAGGAGAGUAGGAAAAGGAGACAGGAUUAUUUGAGAAGGGUGGAUCGGGAAAAUGUUGUAGAGGAGUGGUGAGUCGGGGUGAGUUUGCAAGAGGGAGAGCAUGAAGAGAAAUGGAAACAGAAAGACAGUAUAUGAUGGUUGUAUAUGUAUGAAACAUCAUGUGGCAUCAGUUGUAAAAAGCGAUUAGAGUAGAGUGACAUUUGAACGCACCAUCUCUUUUCGUCUUCUGCACUUUGCAUUAUAUUUCAGCCUCCUUAUUCAUUUUUCUCUUCCCCUUUUCCCCCAAGGCUGGUACUUGAGUCAAAGAAACUUUAAUAAUUCAGCCCAAAAUGACACAUUUUAUGUUCGCCCCUGCAUUUUCUAUGCAUGGGUGAAACAUCACAUUAUCAGAUAAUGUUUAUUGUAAACAAUAACAAAGUUGUUCAAUUUGCUUUAACGUUUUAUAUAAGGCAUUAUGGAGGCAUUACUUAAAAAAAGGUUUCUUAAGACAAUAAAAUAUCAGAGAAAAUACUGUAAAUGUCAAAGAGGACAAUUUUCUAAGGUAGCGGUCCGCUAAGCAACAUAGAAACAUUUAUUUAAGAAGUUGCGUUGAAUGCAUUUUAAUGUAAUUUGUAGUGAAAUUUUUGGUAUUCGAGAUUCAAAGGUUUUAUUUGUCACAUAACAUACAAUUUGCGCAAAUAAAAACAUUAAAGACUAAUGUGUAAUGAAGGUUAUGAGAGAAAAUAUAAGAAACUACAAAUAAUUAUUUAAAAAACAUACAAAAAUAUGUAAUGUCUGGCUAAUAAAGUCAAUAUUUUACUGUCCCAACAAACUCAAUAACUCUCAAAUAUAUGCAGCACCUAAAAUGUAGAACUGGUAACACAUUUGAUUAAUCUGAUGUUGUGGCUAAUGUGUUGCAGAACCCUGAUGUUAUUGAAGAACCAAACACAAGUUCAGUUCUAUCCACAGUCCCUGGAAUCAUUGACUUACUCCAGCUCACUAUCACAUGGAUAUACUUGUUGAUUUACUAACUGCAGAUAAGAGCUUCACAGAAAAGAGCUGAACGAUACCAAAAUAUUACCAUUUAACUUUGGAUCAGGCUGUAGUUCUAUUCAUGGUGCCUCUUCUCUCUCCUUCAACCUUUCAUUUAUCGAGUCUUUUGAUAAACGGGCCCUUUUUUCCUCAUUCUGGUGAAUUGCUCAACUUUAAAGCAGUCAUCACCUUUCACGCUCCUCCACCUUCCAGCAGGCGAAUCAGGCGUCCACACUGGGCAGCCUGAUCUCCAAAACCUGUUCGUAAAAAUAUAUGCGAAAAUCUUGAACAUACAAAUUCAUAGAGAUACAUACUAAAUAAAUACGGACUGCAACUGAUGAAGUCACCCUAUUCAUAGUGAAUGGGGACCUGCACCCCAUAAACACACUUUGUGAAGUCUAACGAUGUAAAAUAAACGUGUUAUGAUUGCAUUUUUAACGAGAAAUCAAUGUUAACUUGUAAGAAUAGAAUACUAUACUAACCCUAACCCCCUCAAAAAAAUCCACACUGUCGGAGAGACGUUCACUCAAGAAUCCAACAUGGUCCGCCAUGUGGUUCACUCAAGGGGCGUGGUUAACCACCGCCAGUUCGUAUGUAUUGUUACGAAUUUGUAUGUCCAGGAUUUUCGUAUACAUUUUUACGAAGAGGUUUUGGAGAUCACGUUGCACUGGGACAGUUUAGAAGACUCUCCCCUGCAGAGCACCUGGCUGCUUUAACCCAUGACUGCUGAGACUGUGCCAAAACUUCUCUCAAUGUAAUCGUUUUGUGUUCAACUGAAGGGGGCCUUCGGUUAAAUGCUUUUUCAAGGAAUAAGUCGAGCCAGGGGACCUAUUUCUUUCGAUUUAUUAUUCAUUUAAAAAAACACAUAGGAAUUCAUCACAUUUUGCAGAGUUUGCAAGCAAAACAUUCUGUUUUUCUACAGUUGAUCUUUUGUAAUGUUACUCAACUGCGUCAUAAUCAUCAGCUCAAUUGGGAAUCAUGGGAGAAAAAAUGCAAGGAAUGUAAUUAGGCCCUAAAAGCACAUUCUCAGUCACUCAAUUUUAUACAAAAAAUGGCUUGUUAUUGACCAAUAUUUCCCCUUUAGCUCAGCCAAGUUCAUUCAUUUUUGUGUCUUAGAUUAAAUAACAAAAUAUUUGCAUUUUUUUUCUCUGUGUCGUCAGUGUCGCACACAAACCAUACACAGCAAAACACCAAUGGUACUUGAAAGGUUGAUGCAACAUCUGUUUGGUCAACAGACAAAGCCGUUACCUGGUGGUAACGUACAUGUAUGUUCUGUGAGUACUUCAUCUGCUCAACGGGGCUCAGAGUAUUUGUUCACUAAAGCUGGCAUUCCACAUUAUGGCGUCUGAUAGCCUUUCUGUUCUCAUCAUCCCAUCAUCUUCAACUGCCAACCCGGGCUCGGCUCCGACUUCCCUUUCUGUUUCUAUCUGAUUUAAAACUCUUUCUUCUCUUCUCUUGUUUUUUGUAAAACUUGAACAAACACCUUUGUUUGCAGUAUCUUUAUCUAUGCUACAUUCAUAUCACCUAAUUGUUUAAUAUGCUUCUCAAUCUACUUUUUAUUUUUUUUAUUUGUGUAAAACAUUUUCUCUCCAAAAUGAUGCAAUACAUCUAUCAGCAGAUUUUUUUAGCAAGUGCAGUUUAAUUUAACAUCCAAGUCUAAAAUGUUUUUGACAUCAUAAGCAGGCAAGUUAAAAGGGUAAGGCCAUUAGUCAAAGUAAUGAAAUCAUUGCAUCAAGCUGAGUCUGCUUGUCAUGGCUACCAAACACAAUUAAGGAAAACUUUUAAAACCAAAGAAACAGAUCUAAUGGUGCAAUAUUUGGUACAAAGUGGACAAGAAACAAGUGAGAGAUUAUGAUAUGAUUCGAAAGGGAAGGCGUUAUUUCUCCACUUUAGAGUGAGUCCCAGAAAUGAAAAGAAAAAAAGUGUAUGACCAAAGAUCUGCUCCAUGCUCCACAUUACCUCCAUGCAGGCUAAUGAGGACACAGCGUCAUGCACCUAAUGGGAUUUUUUGUUUAACUUGAUAAACUUGUCAAAUAUAAGGACUUAGAUGACAUUGGAAAGGAAGAUGCUGGAAUAUAAAAAGAACUUUCAAUGAAGAGUCCACAUGUGGAGGAACCCAAUGGAGGCAGUUUUAAGAGGGUGAAGCAUGUACUCUUCAAUCUGCAGUAUCAAAUUUACAAUUGGCAUUCUAUUUAAAUUUCGCUGAAGAAAAAUUAAGGAAACCAUUAAAGUUUCAGGGCUGAUAGCUAAACAAUGAGCAGAAACUAACAGGUGCCCAUUACAGUAAUAAUCUACAACUAAUUUGUUCGAAUAAACUGUGUAUUUUCUAAGUUGAGGUCAACAUUGUUAAGCCUUGGGAACUGCAGCAUACAGUUGCGGGUAUGGUAAAUUAACUAGCACACAAAAAUAGGGACACUUCCCUAUUGUUUAUUCCAAAUUAGAGCUUUCCAAGUAGUUGCCAGCGAGGGAGCAGAGGCUCAUAGCUGAAUGACAGGGACACGCUCUUUUGGACACACAAAAAAACAACAACAGUUCCGUCAACACAGUUUCAAGACAAAUAUACCUGCCUGAUGAAUUAUCAUCCCAGUCAUUGUUAGUAGAUUCAUAGUUCAUCUGUAACUUAUGCUGCUGGGUAUGGAGCAUCAUAGCAACAUCAUUACAUUACAGGUCAUUUAGCUGACACUUUUAUCCAAAGCAACUUACAUUGCAUUUUUAACCCAUGGUUUUUACAUUUUGCCCUGGGAGCAAUUAGGGGUUAGGCAUCUUGCUCAGGGACACUUCGACAUGGGUGAGCCAGGGUUUGAACUGCCAACCUUGGGCUUCCCAGCGCACCCUCUAGACUCCACGCGCCACCCAUGAACCUGCAGUUUGAAUCACGGCCAGCAACGUGUCAAUCGUGACGUUUCUGUCUCUGCUGCAAAAAAGCCAUUUUCAAAUGUUACACCAAGUCUCUUUCCCUCUCACGAUGCACGUUUUUAUCAUUCGGAUAACAACAGAUGGUACCACUUUAGUUUAAAGACACAGCACCCUUGAGAUAGUUUUGUAAUGUUAAUGCAUUUUGCCAUGUUCCCCAAUAUCAAUGGACCUCUCUGCCACCAGUGCACGGUCUAUCAUAAGGGACAGGCCCUUUACCUUUGGUGAGCAAGGGUUUUUCACCCCUGCACAUAAACAUUUGAGAUUUGCACUUCAGCUUGCCACCUAAUCAAUUGUUACUAUCUGUAAGUAUCUGGAAUAUGUACUUUGCAUUGCAGUUUUGAUAAUCAAAAGUUCUUUUCAUGGGCUUAGUUGGGGGUUUGCUGUCUUGUCUUGAUUUAAGAGUUAGGUAAGGGGGGAAGCAGGAUGUGCCAAGCAGGCAGACACGAGUCUGACAAGAUGGGGAGUCAGUUUCUGUCCUGGCUGAGGAAUGCAAGGUCUGCGGGUAAACUAGCAGAUUUGCCAGCCAAAGGGGGGUUUAGAGACACACCAACACUAUUCAACAUACACACUCUGUUCGCUGAUGUUUACGUUAAGUCAGGAGUCCGGACAGUGGAUGUGACCGGAUCUUUAGAUGCGGGGGGUGGAAGGUCCUCCUCUACGCCAGUUUAGGGCCAAUAGAAAUCUUUCCUUCUCUGUCUUUCAAGGGUUAUAAAACAUGAUGUUCUUGCUGAUGUUAGUUAGUUGUUCUUCCGGCCUCUGUGCUGCCUGAACUGCUCCUGCCUUUGCAAACGCAGCGCUGAUACUUGACCUGUGAUCUGACAAAUAAAUCUCCCAGAACGAGAGAAGUCGUUCGGCUGAAUUUUUGAUAACCCCAACCAGGCUCCAAUUCUUGAACAGGUAUUCUUACAGUUUGCAAUGCAAAGUACCUUUUGUGUAUGUUUAUGUCUGUUGUAUACACACAACACAUACACGUUCAGGGGUUAUAAAUAAAUUGUUAAAUAGUAGCUGUUUUUUUCUUUUGACUGUUAUAUAAGUGUGCGUAUAAAAGUGAACACAGUUUGGUAAACGAGAAGCAGAAAACUAAUAUAUGACAUAUCAGUUCAGUCUCAAAUCAAUGUGUAGCCAUUACAGAGAGACAAUUUCCCUCGUAGUAGAAGUUAGUAGUAAAAUAUAGUUCCACUUCACAAAGGAUCAUGGAAGAAUUGAGGGCAGGCAGAGUCACAUGAACACAUAUACAACGUCUAGACACAGUUUCAUUGUUAUUGAACUAUUCUGGAAAUAUUGACAAGAUAGAUUUUAUCUUUUGAUGGGAUCAAACUGCAGCUGCAAGCCCAUCUUGGGCUGAGAGACGUUUGGAGGCCUUUGCUUUCUUAUGCUACUUCUGCCACCUUUGCCUAAGUCACACCAAUCUUGGAAUUUGGGCAUUCGUUUGAUCUCAAAUACACUCCUGUUAAGUUUCAUGACACCCCAUCUUACCGGGGGCAUAAAGACGGAAAGGUCAAUGGCCUCCUCGUCACCUUAGCUUAGACCUUUAACCACACACAUUUACAAAUGUGUUCUUAAAUUCCAUCUCAACUACACAUUUGUACUGUGUUGUGACUGCACUUUUUGUGGUUGAGCCGCUGUAGCGGUUGGAUUUGACAUAUAAACAGAAAGAAAUGUGACGAAAGACAGUUCCUGGUUGGAGUUUGUGCUACAGUAGGUACAGUAUCUCCGGGACAUGGUACAUAACACAGACUGAUAAUACUAUUUGCCACUUUCACAGCUGGUAAUUACAAAAAUGUACAGUUGAGCUCAUUACUAACAGUGAAUUACAGAAGUGUGACAUUGUGCACUCAUUAGGUUUAAGCCUAUGUGCAUUGAUAAUCAGUGCUGCAGCAGUUAUGACAAAGGAAAUGAAGUAAAUUGGUGCUUUUUACUAUUUCUCACCAUGAAUAAUAUAUUUGUUUGAAUAUGAUUCUCUCCCUUCAGUAUUCAUGUUUAGCUGCAUUGCUAUAGUUAAUUGCAUAAUUAUUUUCCUGUCGUAUUGUUUUGUCAACCGGACAAAGAACUACAUUUCUAAUAUUAAUGCAAUUACAUUGACAAUAGGGAUGUAAUUAAAUUGGAGCCUGAAUAAUGUUGUUUGUAAUGGAAGUGAGCAUCACAUCACAUCACAGAGUCUUAGUCAUCCGGCUGCCCUGAUUGGCUCGCUAAUUAUCUGUCUGGCCAAUUGAUUAAUUAGUUGCCUGUAAUUAUUUUACUGAAGGCUGCAAAGUUCAAUCAUUUACUGAACAUCACAACUACGCUUCUGGUUAACUCAUUCUUUGCAUCAAAAAAAACAACAAUCUUUGAUUAAAUAACUGAAAGGGUAUGAUUGAUAAAGUGACUUUCUGGCUUACACACAAAGUAACUGACUGACCAAGCAUCUGACUAAAAAAAGCAUUUAUUACACACAGUUUGAUAUUUUGCUUGUUUUGCUUCACUCCUGCGUCCUUUCCUUGCAGUGAUCCAUCCUCAUUCACUUUAUCUCACACAAUUACCGCUCUGUUGCUAGGAGACAUCCGGGAGACAUUUCAUACGGGGUUGCUGUGGUCCUCAAGGUCUACAGCCGGCACACGGGUCUCUCCUGCAUGCGUGUCUUUGUGUGAUUAUUACACUGGCAGUCACGACUGCCGCUGCACACAGACAAAGGCAGGAUGAGCCGAUUGAAAGUCUGAGCGUUCAUCUUUAUGUAUCUUUUAUUGUAUCUCUCUUCCUCCAACAGCCUGUUCCCUCCUUGCUACUGUACUUUUCCCCUCUCUGUUGCCAUCCUCUCCCUAGAAUAUUUAAUCUCCCGAUGUCUUUGCUCUUUUCCAUCCCUACACAAUAUAGAAUGUUGGUAUAUUUGUCUUUGUGUCCAAAGCACAACAGCCUCCAACUCCUCAUACUUAUUUUCAUCAUUGGAAACACAUUUUUGAUCACUUAUUACCAAAACGAUUUCCAUGCGUUUCUCACACACUUUUCAGUUCAAAUGUUGUAAUUAAACAUUUAAUUUAAGUACAAUUAAAAUCAAGUCAACCUCUUAACUGUCUGCUUGUGAUAUUUGCGCUAUGAACCUCUAGCCUGAUCUCCAAAACCUGUUCGUAAAAAUGUAUACGAAAAUCUUGAACAUAAAAAAUUCGGAGUGAUACAUACUAAAUAAAUACGGACUACAACUGAUGACGUCAACCUAUUCAUAGUCAAUGGGGACCUGCACCCCUUAAACACACUUCGUGAAGUCUAACGAAGUAAAAUAAACGUGUUAUGAUUGCAUUUUUAACGAGAAAUCAAUGUUAACUUGUAAGAAUAGAAUACUAACCCUAACCCCCUCAAAAAAUCCAACAUGGCGGAGAGAUGUUCACUCAAGAAUCCAGCAUGGUCCGCCAUGUUGUUCACUCAAGGGGCGUGGUUAACCACCGCCAGUUCGUAUGUAUUGUUACAAAUUUGUAUGUUCAAGAUUUUCGUAUACAUUUUUACGAACAGGUUUUGGAGAUCACGUUGGAAUCCCAGCAUGCAUUUCAAGCUUCUUCUCCUCCGUAUUUAAAAUAAAAACUCACAUCAUAUCAUUCGACUCUAAUUUUCCCUGGUUUUUGAAAUAUGUAUAAAGUAAACAUAAUAUUAAUGCCAAUAAUAUUCAAUGUUCAGUUUAGCGCUGAAUUCAAUGAGUGCUGAAUACUCUCCUGACCGUGUUACAAAACGCUUUCUUUGCAUUGCCCGAAUUUCUACCUUUACAAUCCCAAACUUUUUGCCCCUCUGUUCUCUCCUCCUCGGGUGUACCCAUGGAAUCCUAUUCAGACUACUUGUCAUAUGAGAUAAUUGCAAACCGUAAUGUAUUUAGUUAGUAAAUACAUGCUUAUUAUUUGGGCUUGUAAAAGAGAGGUUUUGAGUUGUGUCAUAAAAAUGGUAAAAAAAUGGCAUGGAUAAGGUUUGCCAAAAGCAACAUUAUGGUACAAGGUUUUUACAAAAUCCGUUAUAAUGUUCCAUUCUACAAUUUUGCAAUUUCAUAAUUACAACUACGUAGGUUAAAAUUUGUUGGAUUGUUGUGAGUGUCAAUAUGUUUGGACCAUGAUGUGUCAUGAAAUACAUUUUAAACAUUAUAUUCUUUUCCUAUCAACAGAAUAUAUGACAAAACACACUUAUGGAUGAUCUUUUUCACCCUCUCUCUCCCAUAUUGUUUGCACAGGAAUUAUAAUAUAACAAUGUGUCCUGAGGCAUCGGGCGAAAAUUUUUCUAUUUAGAACCGAGAUCAAAACAGUUGAAGAAACUUUAAUUCUUUAUGUUGGCGGCGGCGUUGAUUACAACAUUGUAAACUUUGACAUUUACUGCCUUAGGGUUGGGAGGGGGCGUUAGGGGAGAUGGAGAGAUUUAAAAUCAAGAUAAUAGGCUCGGCAGUUGUGUGCAUUACUCUGCUGCCCCGACCCAAUGUACCCACAGCAAGAUCAUUUCCAUCCCCUGCCAAUACAGCCCAGCGGAUUGAGGCGGUAGAGGUCUAAAUCAGUACGAGCGCUCAACCUUCAGCAUUAGCCGCCCCGCCAGGAUUUCCUGAAAACAACGUGGAACUCGGAGGGGCAUCUUUUUUUUUCCGUGGCUGACUAUUGAUGCAGUAGUUAUGUGUGUUGGAUGGAUAUGCUGUAACAGAACAAAGCAAAGAGAGAGGGAAACAAAGACAAAACUGCCAUCAGCCCGAUAGAGAUUUCGAUGCAAUCAUUUCCCAACACCAGAACAACAGACUAUCCCCAAGUACACAUAACGCCAGUGACAAAAAGCUGGAUUCGCAAUCUUUUCUAUAUGUCUGAAUGUAAUUGGAAAUUUUAGAUAUCAACGAAACAAAAGGGUGUUUGGGUUCUUUUAAAAAGCAGGCCGAUCAAUAAUCUCACUGAUAUUAUCCGGCUUUCAGACAUGUUUUCCUUUUGCAAUAUAUUUGUCCGUCUGAUUCUGUUUCCCCUUCAGUAUAUCUUAAUCGAUUCCUGCACUUCCUUAUGUUGUUUGUCUGUCUCUCUUCUAUUGUCUCUCCUGUCUCUUUCUUUCUUUUUUCUGUCGGUUCCUCCUGUGGAGACAUAUCCUCUCCGCUUGAUUGCUCUCUUCCGAUUUAUUCUCCUUGGGUGGUGUUUGUCAGGGGUGGGAGGGCUGCAUGGGUGUUUGUUAGUGGGCGUCAAAACAAGUAGAACGCUGCCUUUCAACGCUUUUGACAGCUCUCAAUUCUGCUGAUUGUGUUUGUGCCUGAACAUUUUCACCUGCUGUUUCUACCGUCUACCAGGCUGUUAUGCCCGGCCACCCUGACAGGGCUCUCUAAUAAAGAUUAUACAAUCCAAAUAACCUCGUACAUUUAAGAAAUUAGACAGAUUGGGUUGAUCCUGGACUUUAAAAAGCUAUACGUCCACUUACGUCCAUGUCCAUGGUAUUCAGAAAUCGAAGAGACAAAUCUUUAUUCUAAAAUGAUACAAUUUAACAUAGUGUGCGUCAACAAAUUGAAAUGCUUUAUUCUAUUUGGUCAAUUAAGUAUUGCACGAAGCAGUGUGUGUUUUAUCACAAGCAGAGGAGACAUUCACAUUGACAGUAACCUUUUACAGAGAACUAGAGCCCCAGAUUUUGAACCACAACCAUUUCAUGAUAAAGUCUCUUAUCAUAAUUCCAAACGUGAAUAAUGCUUUUGUUCUGCAGCUUAUCUUGUUUACAUGUUUUACAUAACUAAAAGUGUACAGAACGGAUUAAGUGAUAUAUUUAGCUCCUCAAAUGCAUCUGUAGCUAACUUAGCAUCCUUAGAAUGGCUUAACAUGGCAGUAGAUGAAACCAUUUCAUUGUCAUCAAACCAGUUAUUUAGCUGGAUAGUUAAUGGUUCAAAUGUUGACAUGAAAAUAAACAAAAGCCCCCCCCAAAAAAUAAAUGCCAAAAAUGAUUUUGCUGUUUAUCCGGAUCCUGUUUAAUGUGAGUCUUGUUGGGUCUCCGUAUGUAGUAUUUCACUUUUUCCCCUUCUGUCCUUUCCUAAUCCUCUCUUUGAUGUUAUUCUCCACCAUGCUCUGUCUGAUAACUCAACAUCUAAAGGUAAUCUUGAAAAGGAAAGAAUGACGCAUGUACAGCUAUGAGCGAGUAUAUGGAAUAGGUGGUGGGCAAGACGAAGAGAGAGAUGGAGGGCGUUGUGGUUUCAUUAUAAAGUAAUCACCAAGAAGAAAGGUCAGGCAGCUGUUACAACAUCUAUAAAACACCGAAGAGACGGAGAAUGACAGGAAGGGAGAGGGAGAUAAAGAGAGAGAAGGGAGACCCAUCAGCUGACGGGAAAGACAGAAAGGUAUAGGUGAGUUGCACUUAAUGAUAUAGCCAUGAAAUACUGCCAGAAGAAAACUGUCAGUAAGGAGGCAUUCUGAGGUAAAGUGGAAGAAAAGGGAUGGAGAUGGAAUGGCCUUGAUGCAGAGGCAUUAUACCACGGCUCCUUUUAGGCUUUCAGGUAAAGCACAUAUAUUUUUUUACAUUUAAUGAUAAUAAAAUACCAGAUGAACGAAAAAAGAAUCCCUACAUAUAGCAGGAGACUGACUGACCUGUCAGCAGAAUAAACAUAAAUGGCAUGCAUGUACAAAGUAACAAUGAAAGUCAACACAACACAGAUAAAAGUGCUGCUCCACAGCAUUGGCCUCAGUGGGGCCACUUUUUGGCUGGAUGACACUGUAUUGCAAGACACUCCUACAUCAGCAUGCACUAGUCUGCAGCCUCUAAUGUGAGAAAUGUGCUCUGCAUCUCAAAAGCGCCAUGUAAUUAUGCAUGCUCGUGUGGUUGCAGUCAUUUCAUCUUGCAGCACGCUACCAGGCUCGAUCAGAAAGUACACAACCCUCUGUCUCUUCUGCAAACCAAUCUAGAAAGGUACAGUGCAGAUCUCUGCCAGGUGUCUCUUUUAAUGACCACCGCUGUAUAGCGGGAUUUCAUGAAAACAAGCCACUAUUGGAUAAUGCCCUGCUGGUGUUUCCAAUGUGUUUUUUAACAUGCAUGUUACACACAACAGAUGCACUUCAUACAACAGCUCCAAAAAGGUGCUUGUCCGCUUAGCAGCACCUGAAUGGCGGCAGUGUGUUCCCUCGUGGUUCCGUUAGCUGCUAGUUGUUGGCCAUACACACCGGCCAAAACAGUAACAGCGUGCAAACUUUUCCACCCCAAUGUGUCUCUGGUCACAGACUAAAAUAUUGUGAAACAGAAUGUCACAUUAGCUGUGGACAAACACAGGGGCACACUCACUCACUCACUGAGUCACGGAUGCACAGACUAACACAGUCACAGUUACUCACUGUCAGGGACGCACACACGCGACCCAUCACAUGGACCUUCUGGCAGAGGUAUUGGUUAGAGAACAGAAGGGGUCCUUAGUGGGUUUCCACAGCUCCAUAAAUUCCCUUGGGUACUGAAACAUACACACAUGGCUUCCGCAUCCAUGCACACCAUGCAAACAGAUCCCAUGUCUACCAACGAGAUCUCCAAAACCUGUUCAUGAAAAUGUAUACGAAAAUCUUGAACAUACAAAUUCGUAACAAUACAUACAAACUGGCGGUGGUUAACCACGCCCCUUGAGUGAACAACAUGGCGGACCAUGUUGGAUUCUUGAGUGAACGUCUCUCCGCCAUGUUGGAUUUUUCGAGGGGGUUAGGGUUAGUAUUGUAUUCUUACAAUUUAACAUUGAUUUCUCGUUAAAAAUGCAAUCAUAACACGUUUAUUUUACGUCGUUAGACUUCACGAAGUGUGUUUACAGGGUGCAGGUCCCCAUUCACUUUGAAUAGGGUGACGUCAUCAGUUGCAGUCCGUAUUUAUUUAGUAUGUAUCACUAUGAAUUUGUAUGUUCAAACUUUUCGUAUACAUUUUGCGGAACAGGUUUUGGAGAUCAGGCUGUGUCUACAUAGUGUUUAUUCCUUUAGUUUUAAAUUCUGAACUCUGUUUAUAUUGUAUGGAAAUAAUCUACAGUAUCCAAACAUACAGAAUAUUAUUAUAAUCCGAACAAUAUUGUGAGUGCAGAGAGUUUGGCAUUAGGAUUCAUUCACACUCAAUCGUUGAUAAUUCACCUCAGGCUGUAGGGUUUGUCACAAGGGAGAAAAAAAACAAAACGUAUUAGUUAAAGUCCUUGUAUAGUUUCACAAAACUGAAUUGAUGUCAUGCAUUAUUAAAUAAAAUAUUGCGCUAAAUUUUAGUCAUAUAUCCGACAAAGGCACCAAUGAGUAGCUUAACCAAAGAAAGCUGGUCUGAAAGCGCUGCAGAAGUUUAGGCAAUCGCCUCAUCUUAUUUAAUUCACAGGAAGUGACGGUAAAAUGUGUGAUUUUGGCCACAAGACACGUUAUGCGAGACUGUCCUCAACAGACAAUCUGCAGCAUGUAAAACGGACCAAACCACAAACUGGGAUUUUCUUUACCGGUAGAAGCUUUGCUCCUACGCUGCUGGAUCUCCCGUUCAUCUUAACAUCAAUGUGUGAUACAGAAAACAGCAGCACACUGAUGAAUGUACUGGAAAAAAAGACAAGGACAAGAUAAAGAGCACAGUGGAAGGGCUGUAUCAUCACUCAUGGAGAAAUGGUAUGUUGGAUAUGUUGUUCAUAGUUCUUCCCAACAUUUUCAGAUAAUAAAGAAAACACAUUGGAAGAAAGAAAAUGUGAUUAUGUUGUCAGUGAAACUACCUUGACAGCAAAUUACAUAAUAUAUGACUAUUUCAUAAAGCUGUGGCAGUGAGACAGUGAGACAGAACCAACAUAAGAUAUUUUAAUACGGUAGGUAAACUAUAACGUAAAUAAAAGAUAUAAUGGCUGAAUUCCUGGUAUUGUACACGCUGACUCACUGUGUCACCAGAAUAGAACAGUCGUCAUUGAUAUUACAUUUUUAUUACAUUUAAAUUACUUUCAUUUUGCCGUAUGUGUGUCCAAAGUGAUUCAUAUAACCUUAACCUGCAUAUGGGCUUCACAGCCAAAUGUCUCACAAUCUUUCAUCAAUAAGCUUUACCAUUGUUUCUCUUUUUCUGUAUUUUCUUCUAUUUUUCCUCUCUGUACUUUUGAUCUGUCCCCCUCUCCACGCUCUACCACUCUCUCUCUCUCUCUCUCUCUCGCUCACAAUAAUGAGAUAUAAAUAUUUCAGGGCUGUGAUCGCCUUCGGCACUAGACCUGUGUGUCUCUUUCACACAAAAGAAAUACACAAACACCGACACAUGCUCAGAACGCAUAAACAUGACACACGCCAGAUAGAAUGACAUGGGCGCCGACGUACGUGCAGUGUAGUUCAGCAGGAGUGUUCCCCCUGAAUCUCAAGGAACUAAUUAACAAUUAAAGGGCAUGGGCAGAAUCACAGUCUGUGGUUGUGAGGGAUGUUGUGGAAGAAAACAGUGAGUGAUGGAGGUUACAUACGGGUUGCUUCAACAAAUAUAAAUAUAUGUUUCUAAGCUAAGGUCAGUAGUCACAGCUGUUUUCUACUGCAAAACAAGAAAUCUGACACAUGCAUGGAAUGGGCUGCAGGUGAGGGACGCCAGUGCUGAUUGGAGGGUGAGUGGAUGGAUCGAGAAUGACAAGAGUUAGAGAAUGGAUGAAAUACAGCUUCUUUCAUACAUGUCGUUUACCUCUUAUUAAUGUUCAGCUUGGUAUACGGGCUCAAAUUAUCAACGUUUUUGAUGUUGGAACAUUUCUCAUUAAUCUAGUUACCCAAACAUAUUUGACAGGGUUGCAUUCUAGUUGUUCCGAUUCCCACCCAUCACUGUCCGACGCAUCGACGUGUGUCGCUGUCCAAUGUUCUGUUCUCUGAGAAGUGAGGCAAGAUUCUGCAGCCGUAUCCGGCAAGGCGUGCAGAUUGUGUCAGAUGUAAGGAUGUCAUGUAUUACAGCUCUAACAGCAUAACAGCACAAUAUCUGACAUCCACUUAGCUUUUUGGGCUUUAUGUUAUUCAUGUGCAAUGUACUGUUCAAAUGUGCGAUGAGGAGGAGUAUGAAGAAAAUUGUUCCUUGUUAUUGUCAUUGCCCGCCGAGACAGGCUGUUAGCUUCAUUGUUUCCUUUAUGCUCUGUCCAUAUUAGGCCAACCUAGUAAUAGUAGGCAUUCUUCUAGGGUGGUAGACACUACUGAUCCGGGAUAUGUAAUUGUGUAUGUACGUUUCAAAGUGGACCUUUCGUGUGUUUUUCAUGUGUGACGUAUUAGCAUUAGUCCAACUUUUCCCUUUGAAUUCUCCCUAUGAGUCCUAUUCAUGAUGGCUCUUAGCAUUCACCGCAUUGUGUCCAAUAUAUCAUCUCAAACACCCAUUAGCUCCAUUCAAUUCUGUGAUGUUGCAUUAGCCCUUAGCUGUACUUUCUCUGUAUAAUCCUCCGUACUAGUAGACCUUUUCUUUCCAAUAUUUUGCCCGCUGCUCAUAUCAGCCCUUUUUCCCGCUGUGUGAUGUUUCGUUAGUUCUUGGCGUUAUUCUUCAUGAGUAAUGUGACAUUUCUAUUUGGCCUAUACUUUUCUAAUGAGUGAUGUUAGUGUUAGUGUUUGGCAUAUUUUGUGGGUAAUAUUCCCUUGACAUUUGGCUGGGGUACUUUUAUAAUGAGUGACAGUCCAUUAGCAGUUGCACAUUUUGCUCCUAAUGGGCAGUGGUGCGUUGUGAGACAUGUAAUCAAAUGCUCUUUACUAUCUGCUGUUUGUGUGUGUGACAUGUCCUGUAGGCUUGCCAAUCUGAUAAUGACAGCUCUAAUAUUCUGAACUCCAGCCUUGAAAAGACUGUCAACGAGGCUAAACACAUCUUCAUAAUCCCUUUAAUGGACUCUGUGGGCUGGACAAUAUCGUUUCACACACACAAACACAUCUGAGAUGAGACACCCACUCGCAGAGGCGAACAUACAGAGCAUAAUAGAUGGUCUGCUCACAACAAAAGUUUCUUUUGCUCUCUCGUCUUGUGUCCUUGCCUUAAGGUGUGAAAUAAAUAACACUUACUAUUAAACUUUGCUUUUGCUGACAGACAGAAAAGAAUAAACAAACAUCCGAAACGCUGGAGCUCCCACCCAAAACACAUGAAGAUGCCGGAGAAAAUAUAUUCUUGCAUGAGAACACACUUUGGCACCAUUAAAACCAUAAAUCUAAAUAUAUUGAUAAGAAAAAGAAAUCACCUACGUCUGGUAAAGUCUGACCAGUUUUUGAAAUCAUGAUGAGGAAAAGAGGAAAAUGUAGUUCCCUACCGCUCUACUUACUGAUAAUGCUUUUGCUUGGAUCACACUUAUAUUCAAACUUGCCAUUAAUUUGGAGCAAUCUAUCCAUGAACAAUAGCAUUUCCAGGUCUUCAUUUUCUUUGUUCAUAUUUUUACAAUUUAUGUUUAUAUGUUCUUUAGCAUUUUCAAUUUUAUGGUUAACUUAAUUGCAAAAGACAACAUUUGACAAAAAGCAAUGCAGAGUAAUCAAACCACAGGGGACUCUGUUUGAAAACACAUUCACUGUAGCUACCAUUCAGAAAUAAUGACUUACAGACAGAGACCAUUUCUACAAAUGUAAAGGGUCCAUGGCAACAGGAUUUUUAGGUACUCUGAUGAAGUAGUGGGCUGAGAACGCGGUCAUAGCACAGUGGUGCAUGAACCAUUAUCGUACUAUUUUAGACCUCCACUAAUCUCUUCGUUUUCCUUUUUAGUCUUAUUCCAUUACAGCUUUUAGAUUUAAUCAUUUUGCUCCAUCCAGUUUACCCUCAGACCAAUAACUCGGUCAGUCCCAAAGGUCAAGGAAGUUUUAAGGUAAUAAAGCAGAAUUACAGACUAGAAUACUUGCUGCCAUCAUGGUUUCUUCAAUCGAUGGACCCGAAACGGUGGUACGAAGACGGAUGGCAAGAAGCAUUCAGGUCCGCUGUGUGAAAGAAAUAACAUUCACUCUCACUUUUCCUCUUUAAGUUUUCCCUAUCCUCCAGUUCUUGCUUUCUCUUUCUCACACACACACACGCACACGCACACAAACACUUGGUAAAUGAGUGCAGGUAGACUGACGGGUUAAAGGUUGGGAUUGUGACAGCUCCUGAUAAUUGGGCUUUCUUUGGAAUAGCAAAAUGAAGCAGACACAUUGGUAAAGAGAAGGAUAUAAAUUAUACGUCCACGCAUCCAAAGUGUUCCAACAUGACAAGCCCAGGGAGGUAUGCCAAAGUCCUUCAAGUCCUUACAUAUCACUGUCUCACCGCCUGAUAUAGAGACAGACAUUGCUGAUUUAAAAUAUAUAUAUAUAUAUAUAUAUAUAUAUUUGAGUAAAAAUGUAAUAAAAACAUAAUCUUUACUUCCAUUUCCUUUAUUAAGAAAUAAAAAGAUAUGUGGCCUUCUUAUUCACACAAUUGAAAGAUAAUUUCCAUUGCAGGCAGCCUGCUGGGAUGUCAUGUGCACUCCAUCAAGCACCUUCCCAUUGGCUGUUGAGAGAACCACUGACUGCAGCUAGAUGUUAAUCCUGAGGCCAGAAUCAUUACUUUGGGACAUUCAGUGUAACUGGUUGGCCAAUAUAGCAGGAUAUAAAUCAGUGCCAGUGCUUACACAAAGUAAGAGCUGUAUGAGCUUAAACCAGCGGAUGACUGGUGGAUCAUCAGGGCUAAGCCCUUCAAACGGUGUCCCAGCAUGUCCGUAUUCUCCGCUGAGGUCACAAGGUGCAGACCGUGGUAUUUGCGGACUAAAAAUUAUUUGAAUUUGGCACGACCAAGGUAUUGUACGACGCCAUCAGAAUUACGUAAUUGUUUGUGGCUGUGUGUUUGUGUGGUUGGCGAUGUGGUACACAUAUCAACUCUGGGCAGGAAAGAUAUAUAUACGCAGCGAGAUGAGGGGACUGAGAGAAUGGAAACAGAGAGGUUGAUGAAGAUGACAUAGGAUUAGCUUUUUCUCUUGUGCUGGUCAACACAAACGAAAACCCUUGAAAUGCCCAUAUUUAGAUUAAAAAAGAAAUCCUGUUGUGCUCGUUUUUUGUAUCCUUGUAGUUGUAAAACGUACAUACAGCCAUGUGUGCAAAUGCUGGUAUACUUCAAUGGACCAUUUAGAACUCAGGGAAUGAGGAACUCUGUGAUGGAAAUGAGUUGUUCCAGACUUGUGUAUAAGAGAUGCACACAGAUUCAUGGGUAGACCCAAAAUUGACAUGCAUCCAUCCGUGAAAUCUGAUCGGCCACUCCUCAUGCCAAAAGAUGCAAAACAAACGCAGAGUUAUCCAAUGAUUCCAUGCAUCUUUAAACCUGAACUCUUGCAAAACCCUUAUGAUUAUCUAUGGUUAGCUAACUAGAAGGAAAGAUGGCGAUGUGCAGUACCUAUCGUCAUUUUCCCUUUGUUUCCUUUCGCUCCUCACUUUCCUCCCACUUAUGUAUUUGAAUUUAUUGGCCAUCAACUCACUAUUUAAGUUCUCAUGAUGAAAACACACUCACACACACACAACACACUAGACCCAUUAGCCAUCUUUCCGCCAGACAUGAUGAUCCCAGCAUGAAAUAGGAUUCAGGAAUAAAUAGUUUGAUUGGGCGAGGAGCAGCAAAUGAGGACCUGAUUAGCAUUUUGAUCUGAGCUGAAGAGCCUCUACUCAAAAACAGAGCUCCUGAUAAGCAUUUUGGCUUCAACGUUGCUUCUUCACUGAAAAAAUAUGUGUGAAAUCUUUUUAUCUGGGUUUUAUGAAAACGGCUUUAACAAGCUAUUUCUAUGAAAUCACCGUAUAGCAAACAAGACAAUAAAAACCACUUUUUUAUAUUGCUGCAAACAGCUAGUUUUCAUGUGAAGAUUCCCAUGUGAUGGGUAAUGUCUAAUUUAUCAGAAAAGGAAGUCACUUGUUGUCACAUGUUUUUAUCCAAACUCCUCCUGGUAUUACUGAUGUAGCUCGGUUGGCCCUCAAAGGGCCCCACUCACAUCCGCCUCAUGCGAUGCCCUCAAACGGCAGUCACAGCGUACAGUUAGCUCUCUCAGGGCUUUUGGAGUAUUUUCCAGUACUUUUUAGCUCUGUCAGCACCGUGUGUUGUGAGUCGCCAGCCCGCCUUCGACAAGUUAAGAGCAGCUGGGAAGCAAUCGAAGUGCUGUGAGCACUAUUGACCUUGUGAAAUGCUGUGUGGCAGUGUGGUGCUAAAAAACUUUUCCCAGUGUGAUAUUAAGCAAAACAAGUGUAUAAACUGCUUCUUCAAAUAUUACAAAAGAGCUGAGUCUUUCUAGCACAACAACAGUAGUUUAAGGUACAUUUGUUUCAGGCUGUUGUGUUGGCUUGUAUUACAUUAUAUAUUAGAGAGGUGAACAUGGCAUGCUGGUGUGUACAGUAGUUCAACAUCUAUGAAGAAUUUCAUAGAAGUAUGGGAGCGCCAUAUCAUUCAAUAGAACAAUAAGAGACCAAGAGCCCACUUAUUGACAUUGCAUGUGUGUCUACGUUUGUAUGUAACAAUCCUGCAUUGAUACUUCACUUAAAGCCUUGCCGCAUAAUACCAACGCUCUUGUGAUGAAUUGAACAAUCAAAUGACCCAAUUAGAUGUGAAAAAAACACAUUUUACAUGUCACUGCAAUGGUACUUCCUUGGUGAAGAUAAAGCCCAAAAACGACUACUAAUAAGUUGUGAGAUUUUUUUAACGAGAAGUGCAUUUUUAUCAAUGAGGAGAAAACAAAAUUCCAAUUUCCAGGUCGAAUGUGGCUUCGAUGAAUGAAUGAAUUAAUUCUAACUCACGAUAAGACGCCCAGAAUGAGUUACUCCUGUGCAGCAAUCCUUCUUUUAAAGCAGAUGUGACAUUUAAGAGGGGACACUUUAAACUACAUGAAUGCUUCCACAGUUCACUUUUUGCGGCAUUUGUCACACGCAAAAAUACAAUGCAUAUAUUUUAGAGAUGAGACGUAUGUUGUCAAUCUCAAAGCAACCUCAUCCACCGGCCAGAUUGUUCCGACAGCUCCAGUGUCACUCACUUCCAUCUCCUCCGAUCCAUAAAGGGAGUUAUCCGACUCUCCUUGUGACUUAUUUCUCUUUUACAUAAAGAAUCCUGGGUCUCAAGUACAUUGAACUCUGUUAUGUGAAUAGAAGCAACUUACACCUGUUUCUCCUACAUUCUGUAUCACAUAACUGGAUAAUUGUUGCUGCUUAACCUUGGCUAUACAUUCUUUUUCUGUGGCCACUAGCAUUUUCAUCGAGUAAAAUCCCCACAAAUCAUAGAGCAUUCUGGACCAGUCAUUGUAUAAAAUACCCCUGUAAAAGGGUUGAAAUGACACCUCUGUUUUUAGAAAUGAUCAAUUAUUAAUCUUCGAAUUUUUAGCAAACCCCUGUUGGUCAAUGGUGAAGUGUGCUAAUGUUGUCUGAGGCCUUUAUUUUAAUGUCUGCCUUAUUUAGUUAAACAUGAAUUCCUUUUUUUCGCCUUCACAACAUUCUUCAGAUGACACCGUGAGAUCUACGGAACAGAUAAAACAUAAAUUAGCUCAUACGACCAUGAACAAUUGAACUUUUUAACAUACUUUUCUGUUGUUGUCUGAAGAAGAGAUGCAAUGAAAUUACUACUGGAAUAAAUUAGACUAUCUUGGUGUCUGGUAUCAAGUUCUAUAAUUUAUCCAUUAUUAUUACAGUGAUGAAAGUUUUGUCAAACUCUUGAACUGAACACAAGGAACAAUUGAUGCUGAUGUGUCUUGAAAAUCAUUGAUUUUUAACCUUCAUUCUAUCCAUCUGAUUUAGCGAUGUAGAGUGAGAAAUGAUUGCAGUCUCUACCAAUGUUCUCUGUUUAAGCACUUUGCUUGUGCAAUGAGAAUUUAUUUCUUAAGGACUGAUUGAACA